AUGUCGGUCUUUCAAAUUCCUAAGAAAAUUUGUAAAGGAAUCACAGAUGCGAUAUCUCAUUUUUGGUGGGGUGAUGACGCAACUCAUAAGAGGAUGCACUGGUUUGCAUGGUGGAAAAUGUGUAUUCCCAAGAAAGAAGGGGGUAUGGGCUUCAGAGAUAUUCACUGCUUUAAUCUUGCACUUCUGGCAAAACAGGCAUGGUGCCUUAUUGAAAACCCGGACUCUUUGUGUGCGUUGAUCCUUAAGGCGAAAUAUUUUCCUGAUGGAGAUCUCAUGAAUGCAACUUUAAAAAAGAAGGCUUCAUAUACAUGGCGGAGUAUUAUGGCCGGAGUUGAUACGCUCAGACGUGGGUAUAUUUGGAGAGUUGGUGAUGGUGAGAAAAUUAGCAUAUGGGAUGAUCCCUGGAUACCU
rnacentral:rRNA from 1 species